GGAUGUGAGGGUGAUCUACCUGCCCAUUGAUUACCAGAGCUGAUUGGUCUGAUCUGGCUAUCAGGUGUCCCUUUCCUCCUUGACCACUCCAAUGCAUUGCUCUUCAGUCACAGGAGA
rnacentral:sRNA from 1 species